GACGAACGCUGUCGGCGUGCUUAACACAUGCAAGUCGAACGGAAAGGCCCUGCUUUUGUGGGGUGCUCGAGUGGCGAACGGGUGAGUAACACGUGAGUAACCUGCCCUUGACUUUGGGAUAACUUCAGGGAACUGGGGCUAAUACCGGAUAGGAGCUCCUGCUGCAUGGUGGGGGUUGGAAAGUUUCGGCGGUUGGGGAUGGACUCGCGGCUUAUCAGCUUGUUGGUGGGGUAGUGGCUUACCAAGGCUUUGACGGGUAGCCGGCCUGAGAGGGUGACCGGCCACAUUGGGACUGAGAUACGGCCCAGACUCCUACGGGAGGCAGCAGUGGGGAAUAUUGCACAAUGGGCGGAAGCCUGAUGCAGCAACGCCGCGUGCGGGAUGACGGCCUUCGGGUUGUAAACCGCUUUCGCCUGUGACGAAGCGUGAGUGACGGUAAUGGGUAAAGAAGCACCGGCUAACUACGUGCCAGCAGCCGCGGUGAUACGUAGGGUGCGAGCGUUGUCCGGAUUUAUUGGGCGUAAAGGGCUCGUAGGUGGUUGAUCGCGUCGGAAGUGUAAUCUUGGGGCUUAACCCUGAGCGUGCUUUCGAUACGGGUUGACUUGAGGAAGGUAGGAGAGAAUGGAAUUCCUGGUGGAGCGGUGGAAUGCGCAGAUAUCAGGAGGAACACCAGUGGCGAAGGCGGUUCUCUGGGCCUUUCCUGACGCUGAGGAGCGAAAGCGUGGGGAGCGAACAGGCUUAGAUACCCUGGUAGUCCACGCUGUAAACGGUGGGUACUAGGUGUGGGGUCCAUUCCACGGGUUCCGUGCCGUAGCUAACGCUUUAAGUACCCCGCCUGGGGAGUACGGCCGCAAGGCUAAAACUCAAAGGAAUUGACGGGGCCCCGCACAAGCGGCGGAGCAUGCGGAUUAAUUCGAUGCAACGCGUAGAACCUUACCUGGGUUUGACAUGGAUCGGGAGUGCUCAGAGAUGGGUGUGCCUCUUUUGGGGUCGGUUCACAGGUGGUGCAUGGCUGUCGUCAGCUCGUGUCGUGAGAUGUUGGGUUAAGUCCCGCAACGAGCGCAACCCUUGUUCACUGUUGCCAGCACGUUAUGGUGGGGACUCAGUGGAGACCGCCGGGGUCAACUCGGAGGAAGGUGGGGAUGACGUCAAGUCAUCAUGCCCCUUAUGUCCAGGGCUUCACGCAUGCUACAAUGGCUGGUACAGAGAGUGGCGAGCCUGUGAGGGUGAGCGAAUCUCGGAAAGCCGGUCUCAGUUCGGAUUGGGGUCUGCAACUCGACCUCAUGAAGUCGGAGUCGCUAGUAAUCGCAGAUCAGCAACGCUGCGGUGAAUACGUUCCCGGG
rnacentral:rRNA from 1 species